AUGGCUGUAGAUGGGUUUGGCGAGGUGGGCAUUCGUGUGGUGAGUCGCCGGCUGGUGAAGGCAUCCGACCCCUCCAUCCAACCGCAGGUGGUGCCCCUCUCCAACCUCGACCUGUACGUCGGCAACGUACAAGUCGCCAUACUAUGCCUCUAUCCCAAGCCUCCGGCGGGCAGGGAUUUCGCCGGCGUGGUGGCCACCUUCGAGUCCUUGCUGCCGGCUUUACUCAACGAGUUCUACCCUUUCGCCGGCCGCAUCGGCACCAACCCAAGCUCAGGCCUCCCCGAGCUGCUCUGCCAGAACCAGGGCGCAGAGCUGGUCGUGGGAGAGGUCCGCGUCGCUCUGGGGAGCCUGGACUACGGCCUGGCGGACAAGUCCCUGAAGAAGCUGAUGCUCCCGUACGCGGAGGACGUCACCUUCUCGGUGCAGCUGCUAUCCUUCGCCUGCGGCAGCUUCUCCGUGCUGUGGGCAACCAACCACCUCGUCGGCGACGGCCAUGACAACAUCAGGUUCCUGCGGAUGUGGUCUGAGCUCGCACGAACGGGCAAAAUCGUCGCCGACGGCGGGGACGGAAAGCUAAGCCACGACCGCUCGGUGUUCCGCCCUCGCAACCCGCCGUCAUACAGAGCCUCGCUCGCCACCGACCUAACGACGUUCGACCCGCGCCGGCUGGUAAACGUCCUGACGGCCCACGACAGCUUCGUCGACCGCCUCUACUACAUCGACGCGGCCGACAUCGCCAGGCUGCGCGAGAUGGCGAGCACCAAGCUGCAGCGCUCGUCACGCGUCCAGGCCGUGUCCGCGUACCUGUGGAAGGUCCUCGCCGGCGUGGUUGCCGCUUCCCGCGUGCCCGAGGAGCGCUGCCGCAUGGGGUGGUGGGUGAGCGCGCGCCGUCGUCUCACGUCGCCUGACCUCGCCUCUGCGAUGCGCAACUACUUCGGCAACGUCACGACCUAUGCCUACGGGGACGCGACGCUGGAGGAGAUCCAGCGCAAGUCGCUCGCGGAGGUGGCGGCCAUGGCGCGGGAGCCGGUCGCCUCCGUCAACUACGACGAGUACAUCCAGGAUCUGGUGGACUUCGUGGAGGUGCACAAGGGACAAGGGCUGAUGGAGACGGCCGUCGUCGGGCUGGGCAGCCCGACCCUAAGCCAGUCCGUGUUCGACUCAUUCCCACUCGACACCGACUUCGGCUUCGGCCAAGCUGCUCUCGCCAUGCCCAUCUCCGACUUCGCCAACCUCUGCUCAGCCUACCUGUCCAUCAGCGCGCGGCCGGCAGGCGACGGCUCCUGGCUCGUCAGUGCCUACAUAUGGCCGCGUCUCGCCGCCGCCCUCGAGGCCGAUGAGCAGCACAUCUUCAAGCCUCUCACGGCGGACUACCUUGGCCUCACAGCCUGCUAG
rnacentral:rRNA from 1 species